rnacentral:rRNA from 1 species
GAUGAACGCUGGCGGCGUGCCUAAUACAUGCAAGUCGAGCGAACGGACGAGAAGCUUGCUUCUCUAAUGUUAGCGGCGGACGGGUGAGUAACACGUGGAUAACCUACCUAUAAGACUGGGAUAACUUCGGGAAACCGUAGCUAAUACCGGAUAAUAUUUUGAACCGCAUGGUUCAAAAGUGAAAGACGGUCUUGCUGUCACUUAUAGAUGGAUCCGCGCUGCAUUAGCUAGUUGGUAAGGUAACGGCUUACCAAGGCAACGAUGCAUAGCCGACCUGAGAGGGAGAUCGGCCACACUGGAACUGAGACACGGUCCAGACUCCUACGGGAGGCAGCAGUAGGGAAUCUUCCGCAAUGGGCGAAAGCCUGACGGAGCAACGCCGCGUGAGUGAUGAAGGUCUUCGGAUCGUAAAACUCUGUUAUUAGGGAAGAACAUAUGUGUAAGUAACUGUGCACAUCUUGACGGUACCUAAUCAGAAAGCCACGGCUAACUACGUG